ensembl:lncRNA
AGGCGCUUGCCCCCAGCAUUGAGGAUGCGGUCCUGGGUGUGGCUGCCCGCCUGCACCCCCACAGAGCACACACCUGUGGUUUGGGUACCACCUGGACACACACAUCAUGUGUUAAAAUCUCUACAACCACAGCUAUUUUGCUCUCCUGGCCAGGAUGCUUCAUCUUCCGGGUCAUCCAGAAAAGGAACGGAGGUGGCCGGUAGACUCUCAUUUGACUCUACUGGCCUGCUGGAAUUCAUAGACCAAGCAGAAAAAUAAGAGAAAGAAAGAUGUGCAUCAAGCUGAAUUUGGCAGUCCAGAAGAUUUUUUUUUUCAGUCAGCAUGGUGGGGUGCUUUUGCAUGGUGAUCUACCCAGUCUGCUAUUGAAAAUGUC